GUUUCUAUUGCUGUUUUGAGACCCUAAAAACAGUAUAUUUUGAAUCUUAGUGAUACUCCCCAUUUAAGGUUUCUAUCUGACAGACAGGUAAUAUUCAUUCAUUCAAUAUUUGAGCACUCACUAUGUGCCAGGCAUAUGGGAAUAUGCCUGUGAAUAGGACAGACAUUCCCUGCCCUUAUGGGUCUUACAGUUAAAGGCGAAAACAGAUAUAUAAAACUUUUAUAAGCAAUUGGAUAAUUAUAAUGCAGAUAUGUGCUGUGAUGGAAAAGUCCAGGUGUGAUGAGGUUUAUAUUCACACAGGUUGGGAAAGUCUCUAUUGAAGAAGUAACAUUAAGUUGAGCCCUGAAGGACAAUGAGGAGCUAGUGAGGGAAAGGGUGCAGAGCAGGGAGCAGGAGGAAAAGACAACAGAAUUUCAGGAAAGGGAACGGCAUGAGAAAAAAAAGUGCUGAAAGUGAGAAGGAACCCUAAGAAGGCCAUCAUGGCAUGGAGUCACUUGUGGGGAGAGUGGCUCAAGGUGAGGCUUUCAAGGCCGUGUUAAGAAUUUUAAAAGGUUCUAGAAGCAACAGAAGCUAUGAUGAAUUCUAAGUGGAUCUGGUCAUUACCAGGCUAAUGGAUUAUAGAGGGCACCUUGGCUGUUGAGGACAGAUUAGAGGCCGUGGCAAGCGAUAAACUAGGGAGAGAAGUGAGGAGGCUAUUUCUGCAGACCAAGAACAAGACUUGGGGGAUGGACUGGGUGUGGAGAUAGAGGGAAAGGGAGGUGUCAAGUUGAUCCAGCUUCCUUCACGAGAGUCUGAGGGGUGGUCCUGCAUUUACCAAGAUGGAGAACAUUGGUUUGGAGGGAUGGUCAAGGAUUCCACAUAAACCCACUGCCAGAAAAAAAAAAGAGGGAAAAAAAAGGGUGUCUCCUGGAGUGCUUUGGCUCAUGGGCGUGGAAUUCAUACCCAACCGUGAUGGAAAGAAUGAAUCCUAUGAAAUGCACAAAUACCAACAAAUGUCAGCUGAUGCCAUCUGGAUGAUCAAUCCAGGCCUCCACUACUGUGGUCUUUGGACAAGAAGAAGAGUUCAAAAAUCAAUGCAAAAAACUCUGAAAUUCGGCCAAAUUCCCAUUAAAAUGCUUACUAUCUCUAGCUUGUUCUGGAGUUGAAGGAAUUUUUGAUUCCAGACAUCUUAACACAGGAUAAUUUAGUUCAUACCCAUGGCCCGUACUGGGUAAAAGCUCACAGCCUCUGAGGGAGAUAUAUCCGGUGGCAGAAGGUCCGUGUCAUCCCUGAUGAUUUCCUUUUGAACAAAGAUUACUCUUCUAUCAAGGUCGCCAGGCACCAAUCCCAUGGAGCAGUGCCUUGUGUCUAAGGAUUAAUUGGCAAGGGUUAACAUCCACCAGAACCAUCACUCCAUUCACUGAAGAUUGCCCAAGUGCCAGGCACUGCACUAGCACUUUGCACGCACGAUUGAGUUUGCUUCCCUGCCCAGCGUCUUAACAGGUUCAAACUCAGAUUGAAACCCGCAAAGCCUGUGUUCUUUUCAUUUGGGAUUUGAUAAUUGUAAAUAGUACAUUAUUUGUGAGAGUUAUUCACACUUGCUAAAGGAAGGUCUUAUUGUUAGGCAAACAAACAAAUCAACCAAUAGAUAAAUAAAAAGCACAACAAUUUCA
rnacentral:lncRNA from 1 species